UUUUUUCCAUCGCUGCUCUGGCCAGUUGGCCGUGGCAGGGGGGUGGCGUCUGAAUUUUCCUUCCUUGUUCCCACAUCCCCCUCGCUUGGCUGCCAGCUCCCUCCUCCUUCCAGAAGCAGCCUGUAGCAGGGCAGAAGGCAGGACUCUGGCAAGCCACACAGCUUCACGAACCACGCCAGUUUCUGGAAGUGUAGAAGCAUCCAGUUCCAGCACCUGGUGGGAGAGAGACCCGAAGGCAGCCGGUUCGGGCAGAGGCGGAAUUGCUUGCUCACGGCCCUGCCCAGUGGUUAGAACGGAAACCUGGGACGACUCAGAAGGGUCCUGGAAAUCCAUGGACAAAGCCCUAGCCUCCUCAUCAAUGGUGCUUCGCCACCCAGCCACGAUGACACUCCUGUGCCCCAAGGCUCUGCUCCCUGCCAGAGGUCAGCAUGGAUAUCACCAUGGCAGUGGGGCAGGGUGUGUGUGUGUGUGAUGAUGGCGUGGGGGGAGAGACCCGGGACUGCCACAGCUGUAGCAUCACCCAGUUCUGGAGGAAUGAAGUGGACACCCCGGCAGCCGGCAGAGAAAGGGAAGGCAGAAGGGAGACGAAGGAAACCCCUGUCUAGCUGCACACAGCUAACCCUGAACCGCCAGCAACAGCCACGGGGAAAACUCAUGGGACUGUAAGCUUGUUAUGGACAGGGAAUGUGUCUGUUUAUUGGUAUACUGUCCUCUCCCUGGUGCUUAGUACAGUGCUCUGAACACAGUAUGCACUCAAUAAAUAAAUUGACUGACUGAAUGAAUGAAUUCCAGGAGAAGGAUGGAGAGAUUCCUCACAGGAGAACUGGCAUCCAGAGGUCACGAAGUGAAGCCAGGGACAGAAAAGAAGCAGGGGCAUUUGAACUCUAAGGGCAUUUUUACCAGUGUGCGCAUAUGCAUGUGUGUGUAUGCACAUGUACACACUCAUGUGGGAGACCAGGGCCAGGGUAUUCGUAUGUGAGGGGACUUUCAGCAUGCAUCCAGGAAUGAGCAGGGCCCCCAUCCCUCAAGUGCAACUCACAGUUCACCACCGGCAUGGUGAAACAGCCGCAAACUAGGGCAUGUCUGGUGGGGCUCUGCCAGCCGUUAAUAAAGGUUUCUAACCAAAGGAACACCUAGUGCAGCUCUCACCGUGGACAACCUUCCGCAGGAAUCCUGGAAAGAGCUGGCUCACAUGGGCGGCAAAGGCCACGGCGGCUACCGCGGCAACCUCCCGCUAAUUCCAGGGGCUGCAGCCCAGCAUUGGCACUGUGCUGCAGUCAGUUUGGCUGUAGAGGAACCCUGUGUGGGACGGGGACUGUGCCUGAUUCGAUUAUCUUCUAUCUAUCCUUGCGCUUAGUACAGUACUUGGCAAAUAGGAAGCACUUAAUUUCCACCAUUAUUAAAUAAAGCUCUUGCAUACACUUCUGAAAAUGCUGGCCUCCUGCCCUCUAAAUCCCUGUUUUCCCCAGCAAAAAUCUGACCGGUGAGAACGAGAGAGGAAAGUGACACAGCCCAAACCACUAGAAUUUGAGUGUAUGCUCUUAGCGGAGAGGGAACGUGGCUUGUGUUCCUUUUGUACUUUCCAAGUAUAUAGUAUGGUGCAAUGAACUCGAUGGGUGAUCAAUAAAUGCAUUUGCGGCUAUUACUGCUAUCACUACUACUAUUACUUCUAACACAUAA
rnacentral:lncRNA from 1 species